rnacentral:rRNA from 1 species
GACGAACGCUGGCGGCGUGCCUAACACAUGCAAGUCGAGCGAUGAAGCUCCUUCGGGAGUGGAAUAGCGGCGGACGGGUGAGUAACACGUGGGUAACCUGCCUCAUAGAGGGGAAUAGCCUUCCGAAAGGGAGAUUAAUACCGCAUAACAUAACUUUAUCGCAUGGUAGAGUUAUCAAAGGAGUAAUCCGCUAUGAGAUGGACCCGCGGCGCAUUAGCUAGUUGGUGAGGUAACGGCUCACCAAGGCGACGAUGCGUAGCCGACCUGAGAGGGUGAUCGGCCACAUUGGAACUGAGACACGGUCCAGACUCCUACGGGUGGCAG